rnacentral:rRNA from 1 species
AGCAGCCGCGGUAAUUCCAGCUCCAAUAGCGUAUAUUAAAGUUGUUGCAGUUAAAAAGCUCGUAGUUGAAUUUCGGGAUCAAGUCGUCGGUCGUGCCUCGGUACGCACUGGUGACAUUGGUUUCUCCCUUCUGAAGAACCUUGAUGUCAUUAAUUUGGUGUCUUGGGGAAUCAGGACUGUUACUUUGAAAAAAUUAGAGUGUUUAAAGCAGGCUCACGCUUGAAUACAUUAGCAUGGAAUAAUGAAAUAGGACGUUUGAUUCUAUUUUGUUGGUUUCUAGGAUCGACGUAAUGAUUAAUAGGGAUAGUUGGGGGCAUUAGUAUUCAAUUGUCAGAGGUGAAAUUCUUGGAUUUAUUGAAGACUAACUACUGCGAAAGCAUUUGCUAAGGAUGUUUUCAUUAAUCAAGAACGAAAGUUAGGGGAUCGAAGACGAUCAGAUACCGUCGUAGUCUUAACCAUAAACUAUGCCGACUAGGGAUCGGAUGAUGUUAAUUUUUAAUGACUCAUUCGGCGUCUUAAC